GUAAACGAUGAGUGCUAAGUGUUGGAGGGUUUCCGCCCUUCAGUGCUGCAGCUAACGCAUUAAGCACUCCGCCUGGGGAGUACGACCGCAAGGUUGAAACUCAAAGGAAUUGACGGGGGCCCGCACAAGCGGUGGAGCAUGUGGUUUAAUUCGAAGCAACGCGAAGAACCUUACCAGGUCUUGACAUCCUUUGACCACUCUAGAGAUAGAGCUUCCCCUUCGGGGGCAAAGUGACAGGUGGUGCAUGGUUGUCGUCAGCUCGUGUCGUGAGAUGUUGGGUUAAGUCCCGCAACGAGCGCAACCCUUAUUGUUAGUUGCCAUCAUUCAGUUGGGCACUCUAGCAAGACUGCCGGUGACAAACCGGAGGAAGGUGGGGAUGACGUCAAAUCAUCAUGCCCCUUAUGACCUGGGCUACACACGUGCUACAAUGGGAAGUACAACGAGUNGCGAAGUCGCGAGGCUAAGCUAAUCUCUUAAAGCUUCUCUCAGUUCGGAUUGCAGGCUGCAACUCGCCUGCAUGAAG
rnacentral:rRNA from 1 species